AGAGUUUGAUCCUGGCUCAGGAUGAACGCUAGCGGGAGGCCUAACACAUGCAAGUCGAACGGGAUUGGUAGCAAUACCAUGAGAGUGGCGCACGGGUGAGUAACGCGUAUGCAACCUACCUGUAACAGAGGGAUAGCCCAUAGAAAUGUGGAUUAAUAUCUCAUAGUUCUUUUGUUCCGCAUGGGACGAAAGAUAAAGCUCCGGCGGUUACAGAUGGGCAUGCGUGACAUUAGCUAGUUGGUAAGGUAACGGCUUACCAAGGCUACGAUGUCUAGGGGUUCUGAGAGGAUGAUCCCCCACACUGGUACUGAGACACGGACCAGACUCCUACGGGAGGCAGCAGUGAGGAAUAUUGGUCAAUGGGCGCAAGCCUGAACCAGCCAUCCCGCGUGCAGGAUGACGGCCCUAUGGGUUGUAAACUGCUUUUAUACACCAAGAAAAAUCCCCACGUGUGGGGACCCGACGGUAGUGUAUGAAUAAGCAUCGGCUAACUCCGUGCCAGCAGCCGCGGUAAUACGGAGGAUGCAAGCGUUAUCCGGAUUCAUUGGGUUUAAAGGGUGCGUAGGCGGCUUUUUAAGUCAGUGGUGAAAUCCUGCCGCUUAACGGUAGAAUUGCCAUUGAUACUGAAAAGCUUGAGUACAUUUGAGGUAAGCGGAAUGUGUAGUGUAGCGGUGAAAUGCUUAGAUAUUACACAGAACACCAAUUGCGAAGGCAGCUUACUAAGCCAUUACUGACGCUGAGGCACGAAAGCGUGGGGAGCGAAGAACAGGAUUAGAUACCCUGGUAGUCCACGCCGUAAACGAUGCUCACUCGCUGUUUGCGAUACACAGCAAGCGGCCAAGCGAAAGCAUUAAGUGAGCCACCUGGGGAGUACGAUCGCAAGGUUGAAACUCAAAGGAAUUGACGGGGGCCCGCACAAGCGGAGGAACAUGUGGUUUAAUUCGAUGAUACGCGAGGAACCUUACCUGGGCUUAAAUGUAGAGCGACAGAUUGUGAAAGCAGUGGCUAGCAAUAGUCUGUAUCGAGGUGCUGCAUGGUUGUCGUCAGCUCGUGCCGUGAGGUGUCGGCUUAAGUGCCAUAACGAGCGCAACCCUUGUCGUUAGUUACCAUCAAGUAAUGUUGGGGACUCUAGCGAGACUGCCACCGUAAGGUGAGAGGAAGGUGGGGAUGACGUCAAAUCAGCACGGCCCUUAUGUCCAGGGCUACACACGUGUUACAAUGGCCGAUACAAAGGGCAGCUACUCCGCGAGGAGAUGCUAAUCUCUAAAGUCGGUCCCAGUUCGGAUUGGAGUCUGCAACCCGACUCCAUGAAGUUGGAUUCGCUAGUAAUCGCGCAUCAGCCAUGGCGCGGUGAAUACGUUCCCGGGCCUUGUACACACCGCCCGUCAAACCAUGGGAGCUGGGGGUGCCUGAAGUCUGCCACCGCAAGGAGCGGCCUAGGGUAAAACCAGUGACUGGGGUUAAGUCGUAACAAGGUAACC
rnacentral:rRNA from 1 species